AACAGGAUUAGAUACCCUGGUAGUCCACGCCGUAAACGAUGUCUACUAGCUGUUCGUGGUCUUGUACUGUGAGUAGCGCAGCUAACGCACUAAGUAGACCGCCUGGGGAGUACGGUCGCAAGAUUAAAACUCAAAUGAAUUGACGGGGGCCCGCACAAGCGGUGGAGCAUGUGGUUUAAUUCGACGCAACGCGAAGAACCUUACCUACUCAUGACAUCUAGCGAAGAUUGUAGAGAUACGAUUGUGCCUUCGGGAACGCUAAGACAGGUGCUGCAUGGCUGCCGUCAGCUCGUGUUGUGAAAUGUUGGGUUAAGUCCCGCAACGAGCGCAACCCUUAUCCUUAGUUGCCAGCACGUAAUGGUGGGAACUCUAGGGAGACUGCCGGUGAUAAACCGGAGGAAGGUGGGGACGACGUCAAGUCAUCAUGGCUCUUACGAGUAGGGCUACACACGUGCUACAAUGGUAUGUACAGAGGGAGGCAAGCUGGCGACAGUGAGCGGAUCUCUUAAAGCAUAUCGUAGUCCGGAUCGCAGUCUGCAACUCGACUGCGUGAAGUCGGAAUCGCUAGUAAUCGCAAAUCAGAAUGUUGCGGUGAAUACGUUCCCGGGCCUUGUACACACCGCCCGUCACACCAUGGGAGUGGGUUGCAAAAGAAGUAGGUAGCUUAACCUUCGGGAGGGCGCUUACCACUUUGUGAUUCAUGACUGGGGUGAAGUCGUAACAAGGUAACC
rnacentral:rRNA from 1 species